UGCGCAGGCGGCCUGAUAAGUCAGAUGUGAAAUCCCCGAGCUCAACUUGGGAACUGCGUUUGAAACUAUCAAGCUAGAAUAUGUCAGAGGGGGGUAGAAUUCCACGUGUAGCAGUGAAAUGCGUAGAGAUGUGGAGGAAUACCAAUGGCGAAGGCAGCCCCCUGGGAUAAUAUUGACGCUCAAAUGCGAAAGCGUGGGGAUCAAACAGGAUUAGAUACCCUGGUA
rnacentral:rRNA from 1 species